UAGGGAAUCUUCCACAAUGGACGCAAGUCUGAUGGAGCAACGCCGCGUGAGUGAAGAAGGGUUUCGGCUCGUAAAGCUCUGCUGUUAAAGAAGAACGUGGGUAAGAGUAACUGUUUACCCAGUGACGGUAUUUAACCAGAAAGCCACGGCUAACUACGUACCAG
rnacentral:rRNA from 1 species